CCUCCUCCUCUUCGCAGGCGGCUCGUACGGCCGUGAGAGUCAGAGCAGAGAUGGUGAUUCACACUGUACUGUAAGAAACAAAAAUGAAGAAAGAAGAUGAGGCCAAAAAAGGAUUUAACUUGGCAUGGCAGAGGGCAUUGAGGAAUGUAAGGAAUCAGUUAAGAAAAGAAGUCUAAAAAUGAGCAUUUGUGUUCCCUAAACUUCACUGGAGUUGAAACCAAAACUGUUGGUAUUUUCCACUUAAAUUCUUAUGACCUGAAAACUAAAUAUGAACUCAGAUCUGCCCAGUAGCAAGUAAUACAUGCUUUGAGGGACGCUGUUCUUCAGCAGUGAUCUUAGUUUUAAUGCUGGGCUGUAAAGAACUUGACAGGGAUUUGCUGUUUGCUCGUAUAUGCUCACAGCUUUUAUAUAAUUCAUAGAAUCAUAGAAUAGAAUUCAAGUUGCCAGAUGUAAUUAUGGAUAUUUAAAAUGCCUUAAGAAAAUUCCUAAUUUUCUGAAUCAGCAACAGCUGACUAUCCCAGAGAAACUACAUAUAAGUAUUAAGAAAAAGGAUUACAAUCUCUGUUGGUCACUGUAGGGUAAAAGGACAUGCUCUCUAUGAAUGUUACAGUUCACAUUCUGAGAAGUUU
rnacentral:lncRNA from 1 species